GAGGGGUCAGACUCAUCCGACCUGCUGCAGGUGGAAAGGUCACAGGGUCUCACACCCAUGAGAGGGGAGGCAGGAAGAGAUGCAGGAAGCCAGAGUCUUCUCCUGCUUCUUAUCUGCUGCCUACAAGAGCAAACGUACAGCAGAGAGUGACAACAUGCCGGGCUCCGCUGCUGGUAAUACGCUCGCUUUAAUCAUCCUCAUGCGUGUACGACACGUCGGCGUUUGAUGUUCCAUUAAAACGGACAAGUUGGCGAAGGUUGGAGCGGAUCUAAAUUUAUUCGGUCCACGGGAGUCGCAUUCAUGCUCGUCUGUUCACUUGCACUUGAGCACAGAGCGAGUGGCCAUUCAUCAGAUGAAGAAAGAGGCUGGGAAGAUGCGUUUAUCAGUGUAAACUCAAAAUUUUGCUAAGUGGACAACAUCUCCACAAAGAGCUGACUGCACUCAAGUAAAUGAAGAAAUAACAUGAGUAUGGAGAUAAAAAAA